GAAACUUGGCCGUGCGGGGCCGGAGGGGUGGCGUGGGAAAAGCAACGCCUACUCGCUUUUGCUCUGACAUUGUCACAAGGAAGUGGCCACCUCCGGUCUGCUUUUCCUGCCUGCUCAAUUUUUGCUCUAUCGGUGGGUCUCUCUACCAGGGGGAAUCGCCAGCAGCCCUGGGGAAGGAAAGAUGUGGAGGAAACUUGCUUUUCAGGAGGUAAGACGCCCACGCUUGCUGUUUGACACUGGAGGACUUAGUGGGGGGAGGAUGUCACCCUUUAUUUGGGCUGAAAUAGGUUUCAAAUGCAUAACAAGGCACUCAAAGUGCACAGGCGGGUUUAAAACACCGAGCCCCAGAAGAAUGAUAUACAGCCUGCGUAGGAACGACAGUUUGUGGCUUUCCUGCUAGGCGCCUAGUAGAAAACAAGUGAUCUCUCGGACAGUCGCUGUUAGACACGCCGAGGCGCUGAGACGCCAUAACUCUCGCAGGGCGGGUCUAAAACUAUGCAGCGGCCAUAUUCAGUCUCCCCUGCAGAAUCACAGAAAAACGAGACCUCUUGUGUUUCAUGGGGUCCCUGCUUCCAGGGGACGACUGAGAUGCUUAAAACAAAGCACCCGCUAAUGUGCUUUGCGUGAGGCAGAGAGGCGCACAGUGACUGACACAGAGCGCUGGAGGAAUGGGGGAUAAAAACUAUUUCUUCAAAAUAACACAGCGACGAAGAUUGCCCUCUCUUAAACGUGUUUGAGGGCGUUCCUUGGCAUAGGACGUACAAAUGCGGACACGUGUAACGGAUCGAUUUCUCGCCAUCCCACUCGCGGUGCCGUCUGGAUUGUUUGGAAGGCUUUUUUUUUCACUGGGGGGCCCUGCAGGAAUUUUGCGGAAUGUCCAGCGUCCGGAUUGAUACGCUUUGCGCAGGAGGAGGCAGGGUCAAGGGGCGGGCCUGCUUAGGGGGUGCCCGAAUGACCAUGUGGGCGCGAGACUCAGAAUUCAUCAUGGCGGGAUACAGUGCCACGAGGGGUAAAAACCAAACCCAUCUCUUUGCCUUUGCAAGCAUCGCCUUUAAAGUCGUCGUCUUACUCGGGUGCGCUGGGCAAGCCGUACCGGACACCCGCCCCAGCCAAUGUCAACAGGACAUCCCUCUGUCUGUGCCCGAGGGUGGUGGCGCGCAACAGCCCCUUAACCUCACGGAGCGCUUUGCCCAGCUCUCCUGGUACGAUGCCUUGGCUGGGACAUGGGUGCCGAUAGCCGUCAUCCGUCCAGGGAAAUCAAACCCACUCAACAGCUCCUUCGCCAGGCACAUAUCCAUGUCCAACAGAUGGCUCACCGUGACGAACGCCAGCAAAGCCAUUGCAGGGGUGUAUAAGAUCGAAUCUGAGAUGAACAAAAACAAGUGUCUGGUUUUCAUCCGUCUGAUUGUAACAGAGCCUGCACCAACCUCAGCUCCGGUAUCCCAGGUGGCCCUGGUCAGCAGCGGGACGGCAGCUGCGGAGCCUGGAUCUUGGUCCAGCCGUAUUGCCGUGGUGGUGGUGCCGGUGGUGGGGUCAGUGAUGGUGGCGGCGCUGUUGAUAUGGCAGAUAAAGAAUAUUGCUCGCUACGUGCGCUCGUUCGGCAGCCGUCAUGAUUUCCCUGCCAGAGCCGCCCCGUCCCAGCAGGCCAGCGACUCAGGCCCCAUGCAGGAGCUGGCAGAGCUGACGCAGCUGGAGGACGCCAGAGGUGGGGACCGGUCAGCUCUGCUGAAUGGGAAACUUCUCGGCAGCGCUGAAAUGCUAAACGUGGGGGACUGGAGAGUGGGGAGGGAUGAACCCUGUCCCUCAACAUCCACUCAAUGUGCAGUGGCAGUCAAGACUGGUACUUUUUAGCUUGGAAAAGAGAUGACUAACGGGGGAUACAAUGGAGGUCUAUAAAAUCAUGACUGGGUUGGAGAAAGUAAAUAAGGAAGUGUUGUUUAUUCCUUCUCAUAACACAAGAACUAGGGGUCACCAAAUGAAAUGAAUAGGCAGCAGUUUUAAAACAAAUAAAAGGAAGUAUUUCUUCA
rnacentral:lncRNA from 1 species